rnacentral:tRNA from 1 species
GCAUUGGUGGUUCAGUGGUAGAAUUCUUGCCUUCCACGCAGGAGACCCAAGUUCAAUUCCCAGCCAAGGAA